rnacentral:rRNA from 1 species
GAUGAACGCUAGCGGCAGGCCUAACACAUGCAAGUCGAGGGGCAUCAUGGCGUAGCAAUACGCUGAUGGCGACCGGCGCACGGGUGCGUAACGCGUAUGUAACCUACCCUGUACAGGGGGAUAACCCGGAGAAAUUCGGACUAAUAUCCCAUAACAAUAUCCGGGGGCAUCUUUGGAUAUUUAAAGUUCCGGCGGUACGGGAUGGGCAUGCGUAACAUUAGCUAGUUGGUAAGGUAACGGCUUACCAAGGCUUUGAUGUUUAGGGGUCCUGAGAGGGUGGUCCCCCACACUGGUACUGAGACACGGACCAGACUCCUACGGGAGGCAGCAGUGAGGAAUAUUGGUCAAUGGGCGCAAGCCUGAACCAGCCAUCCCGCGUGCAGGAAGACGGCGCUAUGCGUUGUAAACUGCUUUUCCAGGGAGAGAAACUUGCGCACGUGUUGCGCAAUUGACGGUACCCUGGGAAUAAGCAUCGGCUAACUCCGUG